UACGUAGGGUGCAGGCGUUAAUCGGAAUUACUGGGCGUAAAGCGUGCGCAGGCGGUCUUUUAAGUCAGAUGUGAAAUCCCCGGGCUUAACCUGGGAACUGCGUUUGAAACUGGAAGGCUUGAGUGUGGCAGAGGGGGGUGGAAUUCCACGUGUAGCAGUGAAAUGCGUAGAGAUGUGGAGGAACACCGAUGGCGAAGGCAGCCUUCUGGGCCAACACUGACGCUCAUGCACGAAAGCGUGGGGAGCAAACAGG
rnacentral:rRNA from 1 species